CCUCGGGGUAGGUGUGUCUGCCAUGCAAACAGGUUGCUCAUCUGCCACCAGGCCCCUAAUGAGCCCAACCCUCCUCUGAGCAGCUUGCUCCAACCCCAGCCCUGUUGUCAAGUCAGGCCCCUGCUCAUAAAACUCUCUCCAGUGAGCUGUGACACACAUGAAGGUACACAUUUACAGGGAAACCUGUAAAUCAGGGAAAUCGGGACAGCCCCACACCCCUUCUCAAGGCCACUUAAAGUAGCAAAGGUGCGGCACUGGACUCAGCCUUGCGUUGGUCUCUGCACAGACUCAGGUAAUCAUCGCUGGCCUGGGAGGACGCGGCCCUCGAAGAGUUUUGGAGCAUCUCCACACUUAGAUGUUCAAUGCCUCACGUCUACUGGGAGGGAAGGUUCAGCCCUACAUGGUGCCUACUUCUUAGCCUGACAAUGGGGUAUCCAGCGGGUGAAGCAGUUGAGAAGUGGGCAGUCGACCUUGGCUUUGCCCUCCUCCCCUGAUGUAGACCCCGAGGUGCCCCACUGAAGAUGCCUUUGGGAUGGAAAACAAGCUCUUUGAAGAUUGUUUCCCAAUUCUUACAUUUGAGGCCAGGAGGAAGUUCCGAGGUAGCCUAGAGCCCUGUCACUGUUACAAGAUUCCUUCCCAGAGGACUGGUCUACACAUCUGGGAGAAAACAGGCUUCAGAAACCAUCCACUCUGUGAUGGCUGCUCUGGCUUAUUGACGUGCAAUUGAUCUGACAUGCCUUAUUGGCAUGCAGCGGGUCAUUCCACACACCCCGAGUGCGGUGGCAGGCUGCAUAGCAUGCUUGGCACACUGCCCGGCACUCAGGACCCAUCUUUCAGGAAUUGGCCGGACGUGGGCAAAUAAAUUGGAUAUCUAUUGAUCAGCACUCCUGCCAAUAACUUGGAACAUCAUUUCCCAGUCAAUGAUUUCACAAAUGAAGACACUGCAAAAUAGUGUUCGUUGCCUGUCCACUGUAGGAACUGAUUCUAAAUGUUCACUUCAGUGUGCCUGCCAGAGGAAUACAAACCCGAUACGGGUGUACUGGCCACGCGUUGGAGAGACGAAAAGGCUUACUGAACAUUCUUAGUAAAUGUGCCAUUUGUUCCUGGUGGGUGAAGCAUUUCAUGAUUCAUGCAAUAUUGUAAAUUUUUAUUUUCUUUACAUAGACUUGGCUUUUAUUGUAAUUCCUACUCUUGGGGGAAGGUAAUAUGGAUUCAUCCAAGUUAAUAAAGCCUCUUGGAGAUAACAUCUCCAGGACUCAAGGCCAUUCUCAGGGUACAAUUAAGACAUUUGUUUGCUUGGUAUUCACCACGAAGAUCCAAGGUUGCCAUCAUGCUAAGUCACUGCAUGCAUUUCAUGACAUGAACACGAGCUUUGCAUACCAUUUCAGGCAGGACAGCGAUCACAGUGGAGUCACCGUUAGAGAAGCUGAGAGGUUCUUUGGAACAAACUACAGGCCAUGAAUAAGAGUAACAAGUGUGCCACCUCAUUAGAAGGUAGGGCAGUUCAGAGGACACCGAGCCCUGGACCAAAGGUUCAGGCCACAGCAUGCAUCACUGCAUUCCACACACCCUGCUUUGCCCCGGAGCUUGGAGGUAAAUCUGGAGAGAAGAAAGAGCCGUGGUUUUCUUUUCUUUUUUUUUUUUCCUUUUUUUCUUUUU
rnacentral:lncRNA from 1 species